GGCUCAGGAUGAACGCUAGCGGCAGGCUUAACACAUGCAAGUCGAGGGGGUANAAGGGAGCUUGCUCCUUUGAGACCGGCGCACGGGUGCGUAACGCGUAUGCAAUCUACCUUUUGCAGAGGGAUAGCCCAGAGAAAUUUGGAUUAAUGCCCCAUAGUAUAAUUGAAUGGCAUCAUUUAAUUAUUAAAGUCACAACGGUAAAGAUGAGCAUGCGUCCCAUUAGUUAGUUGGUAAGGUAACGGCUUACCAAGACAAUGAUGGGUAGGGGUCCUGAGAGGAGAUCCCCCACACUGGUACUGAGACACGGACCAGACUCCUACGGGAGGCAGCAGUGAGGAAUAUUGGACAAUGGGCGCAAGCCUGAUCCAGCCAUGCCGCGUGCAGGAAGACGGUCCUAUGGAUUGUAAACUGCUUUUAUACAGGAAGAAACACUCCGACGUGUCGGAGCUUGACGGUACUGUAGGAAUAAGGAUCGGCUAACUCCGUG
rnacentral:rRNA from 1 species